CGUGGUUGGGGCAGCCUAGCUGGCCGUCUCGCAGGUCCCUCUCACCCCCUGCGCCGCCGUCGCACCGUGCCCUCCCCCAUUGCGGGCUCUGUCAUUCUCAAACCCAGGUCGACCCACUCUUCCCGCCCACUGGCCCGCCGCAGCUCCCUCCAUUGGCUCGCGGCACCUGUCCGUUUCCUGGGAGAGUUCAGCACCUCCCGGCAGGAAGAGGCUCCGGCCUCAUUGGGUGCGUGAGAAGGGAAGGGUGGAUCCUAAAAGGUAAUACUGAGCCUUCAUUCAAACUAAAAGGCUGGAAGGGAGGCAGCUGCCUUUGUUUGCCAUGGAUGGGUAGGGGCUGCACUGAGCAGCACCGGUGUUCUUCAUCCGGCUGCACCCCCAACAGAGCUCUUUCUUCCCCAGAUCCCUUUUACAGUUGGAUUCUCCCUCUUGGAUCUGGCUCUGCCUUAGUCCGACCUAGAGGGAUCAGCUUCGCCCACGCCCACUCUCACCCGGAACCUUUCAUCUCUUAUUGAAGCCUUUUAGGCCCAUUGGGAUGUUCAUUAGAACUCUGAAAACUACAGUUCUCCCCUUUAUGAGGACUGCACCACAGCUCGCCCUCUCCUGGGUUCCGCCUGGUUGCAGAGUGAGCCCAUGGGACAGCCCUCUGAAAUUAUACUGCUUACAACCAUGCUGAGUCUGCAAGGACUUCGUCCAAGCCUUUCCGUCCAGGACCUCAAACAGAUCCAAUCACAAGAAGAGAGAUUUCAGGAAAGAGAAAAUUAUUCCUAUCAUCGGGGUUUUUGAAGAACAUGAAAUGACUGGGAAAAUAAUCAUGUUAAGUGGAAAAAAAAAAGAAAUCUAUCUGUUGUAAUUUUCAAAUAAUUUUUAAAUAAAUUUGAAAAAUUAAGAGAACUAUAUAUAUAAUACAUUCCUAAUCUUGUGAAAAAUAUAUAUGCAUUAAUAUUAUUGAAAGAAAUAUAUCAAAAGGUGAACAGCAAUUAUCACCAAUCUAGAUUAUGAGAUUAGGAGUGAUUUUUUUUCUUUGUCCUAUACUAUUUAAUAUUUUCUACCAUUAAAAUAUUCUGAUUUUCUAAUUAGAAUAGUACGUUAGACAAAGAAGGACAAAUAUCACAUGAACUCUCACUCUCUUAUGGAACAGAUCUUGUGGAAUCUAAAAAAGUUGAACUCAUAGAAAAAGAGGAAAAUGAUGGUUACCAGUUAGAAAAAAGGAAUAAGUUCAAGAGAUCUAUUGUACACCAUGGUCAAUAUAGUUAACAAUAUAUUUUAUACUUUAAAAUUGCUAAGGUAGUAGAUUUUAAGUGUUCUCACCACACAAAAAAAUAAGUAUGUGAAAAGCAUAUGGUAAUUAGCUUGAUUUAACCACGCCACAGUGCAUACAUAUGUCAAAACAUCAUGUUGUAUACUAUAAAUAUAUACACUUUUUGUCAAUUUUAAACAGGUUAUAAAAAAACAUGUUAUUGUUGAUAAUUAUGAAAAAUUUUAAUGAUGUGGAAAUGUGUACAGUAUAAUGAUAAAUGAAAGAGUAGUAAAAAUCCUUAUAAAAUAUAA
rnacentral:lncRNA from 1 species